rnacentral:rRNA from 1 species
CCUACGGGAGGCAGCAGUAGGGAAUCUUCCGCAAUGGACGAAAGUCUGACGGAGCAACGCCGCGUGAACGAUGAAGGCCUUCGGGUCGUAAAGUUCUGUUGUUAGGGAAGAACAAGUGCUAGUUGAAUAAGCUGGCACCUUGACGGUACCUAACCAGAAAGCCACGGCUAACUACGUGCCAGCAGCCGCGGUAAUACGUAGGUGGCAAGCGUUGUCCGGAAUUAUUGGGCGUAAAGCGCGCGCAGGCGGUUUCUUAAGUCUGAUGUGAAAGCCCCCGGCUCAACCGGGGAGGGUCAUUGGAAACUGGGAAACUUGAGUGCAGAAGAGGAAAGUGGAAUUCCAAGUGUAGCGGUGAAAUGCGUAGAGAUUUGGAGGAGCACCAGUGGCGAAGGCGACUUUCUGGUCUGUAACUGACGCUGAGGCGCGAAAGCGUGGGGAGCAAACAGGAUUAGAUACCCUGGUAGUCCACGCUGUAAACGAUGAGUGCUAAGUGUUAGAGGGUUUCCGCCCUUUAGUGCUGAAGUUAACGCAUUAAGCACUCCGCCUGGGGGAGGUACGGUCGCGAGGACGUGAACGUACGAAAGGAAGUUAGUACGGCGUGAGACGUGCCGACGGACGACGACGAGGGAGGAGG